AUUAGGAAGGUUCAGUUGUCGGCACUGGAGAAAUCACACCAAGAAGGGUGCAGAGACCCAUUGCAAGUGACUUGGGAAGAGGAAAACUCAGUCAUGGGCAGACACCCAGUUAAAUGGAAAGCAGAGUUAAAGGAGGACAGCGGGAAGAAUGAGAUCUUGAAAAAUCCAUCAGCAAUUUCGGGACGAUAACAUGUGCACAGAUGAUAUUUUUUAAAAACCUGGGAGAAAGGAGUCAGUGGGAGACACAAUUUGAGAGCUACUGUGGCACUCUGGGGACCAAACUAAAGUGUUUGCACCACAUGCUGGGGUAAUUCAAUCACUCAGCAAGCACUGUUUGAGCACCUGUGUUUCUCUGGCCACACUAGUCUCCCUGCUGUUCCUUGUCCUCACCAGGCAUGCUUCCCUACUCUGCCUUUAAUCUGCAGGGGGAUUAUCAUAGCUCAUUGUAACCUUGAACUCCUGGGCUCAAGCGA
rnacentral:lncRNA from 1 species